AUUGAACGCUGGCGGCAUGCCUUACACAUGCAAGUCGAACGGCAGCACGGGAGCAAUCCUGGUGGCGAGUGGCGAACGGGUGAGUAAAGUAUCGGAACGUGCCCAGUCGUGGGGGAUAACGUAGCGAAAGUUACGCUAAUACCGCAUACAAUCUAUGGAUGAAAGCGGGGGAUCGCAAGACCUCGCGCGAUUGGAGCGGCCGAUAGCAGAUUAGGUAGUUGGUGGGGUAAAGGCUCACCAAGCCGACGAUCUGUAGCUGGUCUGAGAGGACGACCAGCCACACUGGGACUGAGACACGGCCCAGACUCCUACGGGAGGCAGCAGUGGGGAAUUUUGGACAAUGGGCGAAAGCCUGAUCCAGCCAUGCCGCGUGCAGGAUGAAGGCCUUCGGGUUGUAAACUGCUUUUGUACGGAACGAAAAGGUUUGGCCUAAUAAGCUGAGCUCAUGACGGUACCGUAAGAAUAAGCACCGGCUAACUACGUGCCAGCAGCCGCCGCGG
rnacentral:rRNA from 1 species